rnacentral:rRNA from 1 species
AUUGAACGCUGGCGGCAGGCCUAACACAUGCAAGUCGAGCGAGCGGAGGACGGGUGAGCAAUGUAUGGGGAUCUGCCUGACGGAGGGGGCUAACUACUGGAAACGGUAGCUAAUACCGCUUACCAUCCUAUGGACCCAAAGGGGAUUAGCUUGUAGGUGAGGUAACGGCUCACCUAGGCGACGAUCCAUAGCUGGUCUGAGAGGAUGAUCGGCCACACUGGGACUGAGACACGGCCCAGACUCCUACGGGAGGCAGCAGUGGGGAAUAUUGCACAAUGGGCGCAAGCCUGAUGCAGCCAUGCCGCGUGUAUGAAGAAGGCCUUCGGGUUGUAAAGUACUUUCGGUCGGGAGGCGUUACCCGCAGAAAAAGCACCGGCUAACUCCGUGCCAGCAGCCGCGGUAAUUC